rnacentral:rRNA from 1 species
UACGGAGGGUGCGAGCGUUGUCCGGAAUCACUGGGCGUAAAGGGCGCGUAGGUGGCCUGUGGAAGUCUGCGGUGAAAGCCCGGCGCUCAACGCCGGGUCGGCCGUGGAUACUCUCGGGCUUGAGCUUACUAGAGGCAGAUGGAAUUCCGGGUGUAGCGGUGGAAUGCGUAGAGAUCCGGAAGAACACCGGUGGCGAAGGCGGCUCUCUGGACCGUAACUGACGCUGAGACACGAAAAGCGUGGGUAGC